rnacentral:rRNA from 1 species
AGAGUUUGAUCCUGGCUCAGAACGAACGCUGGCGGCAUGCCUAACACAUGCAAGUCGCGCGAUAUCCAGGAGCUUGCUCUUGGUGAAAGCGGCGCACGGGUGAGUAACGCGUGGAUAACGUACCUUAAGGUUGGGAAUAACCUGCCGAAAGGCGGGCUAAUACCGAAUAUGUUCUAUUGAAGUACGCUUUGAUAGAGUAAAGCGGGGCAACUCGCGCCAUAAGAUCGGUCCGCGUCCUAUCAGCUAGUUGGUGAGGUAAAGGCUCACCAAGGCGAAGACGGGUAGCUGGUCUGAGAGGACGACCAGUCACACUGGGACUGAGACACGGCCCAGACUCCUACGGGAGGCAGCAGUGGGGAAUAUUGGUCAAUGGGCGAAAGCCUGAACCAGCAAUGCCGCGUGGGUGAUGAAGGCCUUCGGGUUGUAAAGCCCUGUCAGUGGGAAAGAAAAAGACGGUUAACACCCGUACUUGACGGUACCCACAAAGGAAGCACCGGCUAACUCUGUGCCAGCAGCCCGCGGUAAUACAGAGGGUGCAAGCGUUGUUCGGAAUUACUGGGCGUAAAGCGCGUGUAGGCGGCUUAUUAAGUCGGACGUGAAAUCCCUUGGCUCAACCAAGGAACUGCGUCCGAUACUGUUAAGCUUGAGUAUCGGAGGGGGGUGGCGGAAUUCCUGGUGGUAGAGGUGAAAUUCGUAGAUAUCA